rnacentral:rRNA from 1 species
CCUACGGGAGGCAGCAGUGAGGAAUAUUGGUCAAUGGACGAGAGUCUGAACCAGCCAAGUAGCGUGAAGGAUGACUGCCCUAUGGGUUGUAAACUUCUUUUAUAUGGGAAUAAAACGUUCCACGUGUGGGAUUUUGUAUGUACCAUAUGAAUAAGGAUCGGCUAACUACGUGCCAGCAGCCGCGGUAAUACGGAGGAUCCGAGCGUUAUCCGGAUUUAUUGGGUUUAAAGUGAGCGUAGGUGGAUUGUUAAGUCAGUUGUGAAAGUUUGCGGCUCAACCGUAAAAUUGCAGUUGAAACUGGCAGUCUUGAGUACAGUAGAGGUGGGCGGAAUUCGUGGUGUAGCGGUGAAAUGCUUAGAUAUCACGAAGAACUCCGAUUGCGAAGGCAGUUCACUGGACUGCAACUGACACUGAGGCUCGAAAGUGUGGGUAUCAAACAGGAUUAGAUACCCUUGUAGUC